rnacentral:rRNA from 1 species
AGAGUUUGAUCCUGGCUCAGGACGAACGCUGGCGGCGCGCCUAACACAUGCAAGUCGAACGAGCGAGAGAGAGCUUGCUUUCUCGAGCGAGUGGCGAACGGGUGAGUAACGCGUGAGGAACCUGCCUCAAAGAGGGGGACAACAGUUGGAAACGACUGCUAAUACCGCAUAAGCCCACGGGUCGGCAUCGACCAGAGGGAAAAGGAGCAAUCCGCUUUGAGAUGGCCUCGCGUCCGAUUAGCUAGUUGGUGAGGUAACGGCCCACCAAGGCGACGAUCGGUAGCCGGACUGAGAGGUUGAACGGCCACAUUGGGACUGAGACACGGCCCAGACUCCUACGGGAGGCAGCAGUGGGGAAUAUUGCACAAUGGGGGAAACCCUGAUGCAGCGACGCCGCGUGGAGGAAGAAGGUCUUCGGAUUGUAAACUCCUGUUGUUGGGGAAGAUAAUGACGGUACCCAACAAGGAAGUGACGGCUAACUACGUGCCAGCAGCCGCGGUAAAACGUAGGUCACAAGCGUUGUCCGGAAUUACUGGGUGUAAAGGGAGCGCAGGCGGGAAGACAAGUUGGAAGUGAAAUCUAUGGGCUCAACCCAUAAACUGCUUUCAAAACUGUUUUUCUUGAGUAGUGCAGAGGUAGGCGGAAUUCCCGGUGUAGCGGUGGAAUGCGUAGAUAUCGGGAGGAACACCAGUGGCGAAGGCGGCCUACUGGGCACCAACUGACGCUGAGGCUCGAAAGUGUGGGUAGCAAACAGGAUUAGAUACCCUGGUAGUCCACACCGUAAACGAUGAUUACUAGGUGUUGGAGGAUUGACCCCUUCAGUGCCGCAGUUAACACAAUAAGUAAUCCACCUGGGGAGUACGACCGCAAGGUUGAAACUCAAAGGAAUUGACGGGGGCCCGCACAAGCAGUGGAGUAUGUGGUUUAAUUCGACGCAACGCGAAGAACCUUACCAAGUCUUGACAUCCCUUGACAGGCAUAGAAAUAUGUUUUCUCUUCGGAGCAAGGAGACAGGUGGUGCAUGGUUGUCGUCAGCUCGUGUCGUGAGAUGUUGGGUUAAGU